rnacentral:rRNA from 1 species
GACGAACGCUGGCGGCGUGCCUAAUACAUGCAAGUUGAGCGCUGAAGGUUGGUCCUUGUACCAACUGGAUGAGCAGCGAACGGGUGAGUAACGCGUGGGGAAUCUGCCUUUGAGCGGGGGACAACAUUUGGAAACGAAUGCUAAUACCGCAUAAAAACUUUAAACACAAGUUUUAAGUUUGAAAGAUGCAAUUGCAUCACUCAAAGAUGAUCCCGCGUUGUAUUAGCUAGUUGGUGAGGUAAAGGCUCACCAAGGCGAUGAUACAUAGCCGACCUGAGAGGGUGAUCGGCCACAUUGGGACUGAGACACGGCCCAAACUCCUACGGGAGGCAGCAGUAGGGAAUCUUCGGCAAUAGACGAAAGUCUGACCGAGCAACGCCGCGGGAGGGAAGAAGGGUUUCGGAUCGUAAAACUCUGUUGGUAGAGAAGAACGUUGGUGAGAGUGGAAAGCUCAUCAAGUGACGGUAACUACCCAGAAAGGGACGGCUAACUACGUG